GGAACAAAUGGGUAGUGUUAGCAC
rnacentral:miRNA from 1 species